rnacentral:ncRNA from 2 species
CAGAUAAUUAGUUUGUUAAAUGUGUUUACACCACAAAAAACUCUAGAAGAAUUUCAAGAUGUGUAUUUGGUUAUGGAAUUAAUGGAUGCUAACUUAUGUCAGGUUAUUCACAUGGAGCUGGAUCAUGAAAGAAUGUCCUACCUUCUUUACCAGAUGCUUUGUGGUAUUAAACAUCUGCAUUCAGCUGGUAUAAUUCAUAGAGACUGUGCAUGCGGCGCCUGUGGCCCUGCACCUGGAAGCUGGGCAUCAGUUUCUCUGCGUGAAGGGCCAGCAGGAGUGAGGAAGGAGUGGAGCCUCACUUCUGGGAUGGAGAUGGGGAUCUGGGACAUCUACUACGUACUUGGACUUUCAAUAAAAUGAAAACUUCUCCAA